AUGAACGCUGGCGGCGUGCCUAAUACAUGCCAGUCGAGCGAACAGACGAGGAGCUUGCUCCUCUGACGUUAGCGGCGGACGGGUGAGUAACACGUGGAUAACCUACCUAUAAGACUGGGAUAACUUCGGGAAACCGGAGCUAAUACCGGAUAAUAUAUUGAACCGCAUGGUUCAAUAGUGAAAGACGGUUUUGCUGUCACUUAUAGAUGGAUCCGCGCCGCAUUAGCUAGUUGGUAAGGUAACGGCUUACCAAGGCGACGAUGCGUAGCCGACCUGAGAGGGUGAUCGGCCACACUGGAACUGAGACACGGUCCAGACUCCUACGGGAGGCAGCAGUAGGGAAUCUUCCGCAAUGGGCGAAAGCCUGACGGAGCAACGCCGCGUGAGUGAUGAAGGUCUUCGGAUCGUAAAACUCUGUUAUUAGGGAAGAGCAAAUGUGUAAGUAACUAUGCACGUCUUGACGGUACCUAAUCAGAAAGCCACGGCUAACUACGUG
rnacentral:rRNA from 1 species